UCCCCGAUAGUCUAGUGGUGAGGAUAUCUGCUUGUCAUUGGGGAAUUAUUCCCUGACAACGAUUCGCAGGGGACCGGGGUUCAAUUCCCCGUCGAGGAG
rfam:Colletotrichum fioriniae PJ7 Scaffold_58.1, whole genome shotgun sequence.